rnacentral:rRNA from 1 species
GAUGAACGCUGGCGGCGUGCUUAACACAUGCAAGUCGAGCGAAGCACUAAAGCGGAUUUCUUCGGAUUGAAGGUUUAGUGACUGAGCGGCGGACGGGUGAGUAACGCGUGGGUAACCUGCCUCAUACAGGGGGAUAACAGUUGGAAACGGCUGCUAAUACCGCAUAAGCGCACAGUACCGCAUGGUACGGUGUGAAAAACUCCGGUGGUAUGAGAUGGACCCGCGUCUGAUUAGGUAGUUGGUGGGGUAACGGCCUACCAAGCCGACGAUCAGUAGCCGACCUGAGAGGGUGACCGGCCACAUUGGGACUGAGACACGGCCCAAACUCCUACGGGAGGCAGCAGUGGGGAAUAUUGCACAAUGGGGGAAACCCUGAUGCAGCGACGCCGCGUGAGCGAAGAAGUAUUUCGGUAUGUAAAGCUC